rfam:Schistosoma haematobium scaffold531_27, whole genome shotgun sequence.
GUACUGAGGAGUCCCACAACAGGACGAAACGGCCGUCCAGUAC